AUGAACGCUAGCGGGAGGCCUAACACAUGCAAGCCGAGCGGUAUAAUUCUUUCGGGAAUUAGAGAGCGGCGCACGGGUGCGGAACACGUGUGCAACCUGCCUUUAUCUGGGGGAUAGCCUUCCGAAAGGGAGAUUAAUCCCCCAUAAUAUAUUGACUGGCAUCAGUUAAUAUUGAAAACUCCGGUGGAUAGAGAUGGGCACGCGCAAGAUUAGAUAGUUGGUGAGGUAACGGCUCACCAAGUCAGUGAUCUUUAGGGGGCCUGAGAGGGUGAUCCCCCACACAGGUACUGAGACACGGACCAGACUCCUACGGGAGGCCGCAGUGAGGAAUAUUGGACAAUGGGUGAGAGCCUGAUCCAGCCAUCCCGCGUGAAGGACGACGGCCCUAUGGGUUGUAAACUUCUUUUGUACAGGGAUAAACCUAGAUACGUGUAUCUAGCUGAAGGUACUGUACGAAUAAGCACCGGCUAACUCCGUGCCAGCCGCCGCGGUAAAAC
rnacentral:rRNA from 1 species